rnacentral:lncRNA from 1 species
ACGGGACCAGGGGAUCAGUGGGCCUCUGAACAAGAGGGGCGUGCAGAGCGGCUUUUUGGCCUCAGUUAACUCUUAAAUGGGUGUCAGAGGCACUGUCUUCCCCUAGCUAUGCGCCUCGUGCCUGGGAGCCUUAGGGCCACACGGAAGGGUAGAAAUCAGUUUCAGGUCAGGAGGUCUGGAACAGCUUUGUUAAACCCAGUUUUUUUCCUAUGAAAAUGGCUGCAGACACUGGGGGAGGGAGAGGGUGGCCCUGAUCCCGAUGACUCUGAAACAUGCUUGGCCUUCCCCAGAGAUUCCUGCUCCCAGCCCAGGCCCAGACGGCAACAGAAGCUCAUGGGGAGUGAAGGGACAGGAUGGAGCGGGAGCGGCGCCAAAGCACGGGGAGAACCAGAGGCCGCAGGAAUGGCAGACUCUGGACAUGCUCCUAGAGAUGGGAGGUCAAAAUGAUCAACGUUCAGGGUCCCUUCAUCUCAGAGGGUCUCGAGUCACCUCAUUUAAAGUGUGGCCUGGGACACCUCCUAUCCAGCCAUACGCCGCCCAGGACUGGCUCAACAGCUCCACCCUCCACUGCUGUUCACCCAUGACACGUCACUUCCCACCCGCCACUGCUGGCUCACCUGUGACACCCCAGGCAGCUCAGAUGCCCGGCAGGUCCUGCUGGUGUGUGUUAGCCGGGGUCUCCAAAGAACCAGAGCCAGCAGGGGACACACCCAUCUCUGUAUCUGGAGAAAAAGAUCGAUGAGAAGGAAUCUGCUCCUGUGAUGAUGGAGGCUGACAAGUCCCGAGAGCCACGGUUGGCACCCUGGAGACCCCUGAGGGUGAUACCACCACUCCAGGCUGAAAGCUGGCAGGCUUGAGACCCUGGGAGAGCUGGCCCUCUGACUCCUGGGACUUCUUAUUCUAUCCUAGUAUUUCCUCAGCUGAGUGCAUGGGGCCAGACCACACUGGGGAGGGCAGUCAGCGUCACUCAGAGCACCGGGUCAUCUCAUGCAGAAACACCCUCAAAGAAAUAGCCCAAAUUAUGCUGACCAAAUAUCUGGGCACCCCGUGCCCCAGACAAGUUGACACAGAAAAUUAACCAUCACAGGUUAACUCCAUCCAGGAGUGGAAUUGCUGGGUCAUAGAGAAGGCAUAGGAAUUCACAGAAAUCACCAAACGGUUUUCAGGCGGUUGUGCCAUGUUAAACUCCCACUGGAAAGAGAGGAGAGCUGUGAUUGUUCCACGUCCUCAGCAACGUUUAGAAUAGGCAGUCUUUGGCCGGGCCGGGCACAGAGGCUCAAACCUGUAACCCCAGCACUUUGGGAGGCCAUAGUGGGUGGAUUACCUGAGAUCAAGAGUUCAAGACCAGCCUGGCCAACAUGGUUAAACCCCGUCUCUAUUAAAAAUGCAAAAAUUAGCCAGGCGUGGUGGUGCGUGCCUGUAAUUCCAGCUACUUGGGGGCUGAGGCAGGAGAAUCGUUUGAACCCAGGAGGCAGAGUUUGCAGCGAGCCGAGAUCGCGCCACUGCACUCCAGCCUGGGCAACAGAAUGAGACUCUGUCUCCAAAAAAAGAAAAAAUAAAUAAAGAAAAGUCA